AUUGAACGCUGGCGGCAGGCCUAACACAUGCAAGUCGAACGGUAACAGGAAGAAGCUUGCUUCUUUGCUGACGAGUGGCGGACGGGUGAGUAAUGUCUGGGAAACUGCCUGAUGGAGGGGGAUAACUACUGGAAACGGUAGCUAAUACCGCAUAACGUCGCAAGACCAAAAGAGGGGGACCCUUCGGGCCUCUUGCCAUCGGAUGUGCCCAGAUGGGAUUAGCUAGUAGGUGGGGUAACGGCUCACCUAGGCGACGAUCCCUAGCUGGUCUGAGAGGAUGACCAGCCACACUGGAACUGAGACACGGUCCAGACUCCUACGGGAGGCAGCAGUGGGGAAUAUUGCAUAAUGGGCGCAAGCCUGAUGCAGCCAUGCCGCGUGU
rnacentral:rRNA from 1 species